GAUGAACGCUGGCGGCGUGCCUAAUACAUGCAAGUCGAGCGAACGGAUGAGAAGCUUGCUUCUCUGAUGUUAGCGGCGGACGGGUGAGUAACACGUGGAUAACCUACCUAUAAGACUGGGAUAACUUCGGGAAACCGGAGCUAAUACCGGAUGAUAUUUUGAACCGCAUGGUUCAAAAGUGAAAGACGGUCUUGCUGUCACUUAUAGAUGGAUCCGCGCUGCAUUAGCUAGUUGGUAAGGUAACGGCUUACCAAGGCAACGAUGCAUAGCCAACCUGAGAGGUGGUCGGCCCCCCUAGAACAUGAGACACGACCCAGCUCCUUAGGGACGGCACCGGUGGGGACCUUUCGCAACUGGCGAAAGCCUGACGGAGCAACGCCGCGUGAGUGAUGAAGGUCUUCGGAUCGUAAAACUCUGUUAUUAGGGAAGAACAUAUGUGUAAGUAACUGUGCACAGCUUGACGGUACCUAAUCAGAAAGCCACGGCUAACUACGUG
rnacentral:rRNA from 1 species